UUGUCAGGCACAGGAACAGGCUACCCAGGAAAGUGGUUGAGUCAUCAUCCCUGGAGGUAUUUAAAAGAUGUGUAGACGUGGUGCUUAGGGACAAGGUUUAGUGGUGGAAUUGGCAGUGUUAGGUUCUGUUGGGCUUGAUGAUCUUAAAGGUCUUUUCCAACCUAAACAAUUCUAUGUUUCUAUGUUUAAAGGGACCUCAGGACAUCACUAAUCCAACCUUCUGCUCAAAACAAGGU